UACGAAGGGGGCUAGCGUUGUUCGGAAUUACUGGGCGUAAAGGGCGCGUAGGUGGCCUGAUAAGGGUGUGGUGAAAGUCCGGGGGCUCAACCCCGGAUCUGCCGUGCCGACUGUUAGGCUAGAGUACUGUAGGGGCGGGUGGAAUUCCGGGUGUAGCGGUGGAAUGCGUAGAGAUCCGGAAGAACACCGGUGGCGAAGGCGGCCCGCUGGGCAGGAAGACGGGGCAACCCGUCGGCUGACACUGAGGCGCGACAGCGUGGGGAGCAAACAGG
rnacentral:rRNA from 1 species